UUAAUGUUGUCAAAUUAACACAAGAUAAAAAGUACAACCAAGUCCACAAUUACAUAAAUUGAUGAAUUUUGAAGAGAAGGAAAAUUUAAUAAAAGAUAAAAAUAUAAACGUUGUGAAGAAUCAGAGAACCUUUGAACAGAUCAAGCUUCUGGAAUUGAGUACCUUCCAUAUCACUUUUCACGAAGAUAAGGCUUCAAUUUGGGGCA
rnacentral:misc_RNA from 1 species